CACAUCUAUUGCAAAUCUUAUCUGAACCAAGGUUAUUUUAUUUACUAGGUUUUCUGACUUUUGCAGUAAGUAGGCGGGGACUGCGCGGUGAAGUGGUGAAGGGCUCGUUAUCUUUGUUUACAAAUAUUAGAAAAAGUUUUCGGUCGUAUUUCCUCAAUGAUUAUUGUGUCUUUCCUCCUCCUAAAUAAGCGGUCGGUCAUCAAACACGGUGGAAAAAUUGUGUACCUGAAGUUUCUUAAAACAGGGAACAAUUCAGGAUGGAUACCAAAGUCCAAUCAAAGUAUCUCAAUUUGGGCAGAAUGAUCUUGAUUCGAAAAUGGCAGAGACGUUCCAAAAGCUGUGCCAAGUCUCUGCGUACUGCAACCUCUCCAAUCUGAGACAGUCUUUGCAGUUUCAAUGGACGAUUUCCUCAACGCUGGAUCUCCGCGCACCGGAGUCUCUACGAAAAAAUCGCAUCCUGAUUUAGGAUGCAAAACAUCCAAGAUGAGCACGACCCUCGAUAUAGCUGCCAUGCCUUAGCAAUCUUGUCAUGGGGAAAGCCAGCUCGAUCUGACUGUCGUAUAUUAAGAUACGCACGAUUGCGGGGAUGUGAUGCAGUAAUAUGAAACUAGAAGGCAUGUUACCCUCUGUCAUUGAGUCAAGUCGUAAACGCAGUAUUCAACACCAAAACCGUCUUGUAAAAAAAAUAUCAAAAACUCAGUUCUAAAUAGGUAAUUAGGAUAUUUUUUUCAAUAAAAUCCCAUCUAGAUAUUGCUCAUUUCCAUUUUAGUAUUGAAUUAUAAUAUUGAUAGUAUAUGAUAUACAUAUAUGAAAGAAAAUAUCAAACUUGUACCUAGAAACAGUUUUAAACUUGAUGGUUUUUUUUAUCAGACAGUUUUUUUUAAGAAACUGAAAAGUAAUAAAAAACGCAUAGCAUGAUAAAAUAUAAAAUCAAGUUUAGAGCCAUUUGAAUGAAGGGUCUUAAACCAUCAAGAAAAUCUUGCAGGAAAAUCGUAUAUUACAUUAUAAAAAAUAAAAUAAUAAAAAAAACAGCGAGAUCCGAGGUUUCAGCUUUCAUGGAAACAUUUGUCAAUCCUUAAUGCCAAAUAAUCUUCAUUCUGCUUGAACAAUUCUCGGGUAAUAAAAUUUUGAAAUUGCUUGAUUCU